rnacentral:lncRNA from 1 species
ACUUGGCAAGAGGCACUUGACGGUAAAAGACGUUUUGCUGUUAGCCCCCUAACAAGGGCUCUGGCUUCAGGAAACCCUGGAAUGAGAGCCUUUUCAGAUGCUACAGACAAUGGCUCAUCCCUCCUCCCCACUGCCUCUGGCCAUCUGCCAGGAGGUCCCCUAAAGUAAUUCAAAGUGGCCUAGGUCAGACCAGUCUAGGCCAGGCCAAAUCUCUGAGCCCUCACUGGGAAGAAUCCCAUCCCCUCCUCAUCAGCACAGGGGAAGAGGGACAUGUGAUGAAGAUUUGACCUUGGCAGAAAUAGAUUGGUGAGUGGUUUGAUAACCUGGUGGUCCUGUCAUGUUCACUCUCAAGGUCAGGGCUGACAGGGUAGAAAGGGGAUUUCUGAGGUGCUUCUUAUCAAUGCCAAUGUUAAUCCAGGUGCUUACGUGUUUUGUGACCUUGGUGGAGGUCUGUGCAGACUGUGGUGUGCGUCUGUAGUGGGGAGAGUUGCAUGGGUGUGAGAACCACCAAAGACAGCCAGACAGGGCUCUAAAGCUUUCUGCCUGGCCACCAGACACUGUCUUAGUGGGGUCCUCUACUCCAUGUCCCUGCAGGAGAAGAAGAUGCCCCACACCACCAACAGAGUCCCACGCUGGCUCAGGCAGAAGCUCCAGAGCAAGAUCCAGAAGAACCUCAAGAACUAGGGCCAGCUCCAAGGCUAGAGCCCGCUACAGCUCAGAGCCACAGAUUCAGAUUCACAGCCAGAGGAGGCUCAAGCCACUGCUCUCAUUGAACUUUAAGACCAGGAACAACCACCUACAUCAUCUCUGCAACUAGCCUCAGCUGUUGAG